rnacentral:rRNA from 1 species
GACGAACGCUGGCGGCGUGCUUAACACAUGCAAGUCGAACGGAAAGUCCCUGCUUUUGUGUGGUGCUCGUGUGGCGAACGGGGGAGUAACACGUGAGUGAGCUGCCCUUGACUUUGGGAUAACUUCAGGAAACUGGUGCUAAUACCGGAUAGGAGCUCCUGCUGCAUGAUCGUGGUUGGAAAGUGUCGGCUGUGUGAGAUGUACUCGCGGCUUAGCAGCUUGUUGGUCGGGUAGUGGCUUACCAAGGCUUUGACGGGUAGCCGGCCUGAGGAGGUGAACGGGCACAUUGGGACUGAGAUACGGACCAGACUCCUACGGGAGGCAGCAGUGGGGAAUAUUGCACAAUGGGCGGAAGCCUGAGGCAGAAACGCCGCGAGCGGGAUGACGGCCUUCGGGUUAUAAACGGGUUUCACCUGUGACGAAGCGUGAGUGACGGUAAUGGGUAAAGAAGCACCGGCUAACUACGUG